AGAACAGACUGUGGGCUGCAGGGCAGAACAAGAGCCAGGGGAGGAGAAAGGGAAUGAACCAAAGUGCAGAGAAGUGAUGGCUUUGAGGGCUUCCAAGGACCAUUGUCAGGGAGAAAAUAAAGAAGUUUUCUCGUGGCAGUGAGGUGUUCUACAGUGAAAAAGAGCUGGGAACCUAGCCUGGAUUUUUCUACCCUAAGGAAGACACAAAACCUCCUGAACCUCCAACCUUGGAGCCUUCCCCCUGCCCCAGCCCGGCUCACAACGCUGCUGCUGUAUGCCCAUGAGGGCUCACUGGGGGCUUCCCCAGGCAGCUCCCGUGCUGCCACCGGUCGGAUGCUUCCCACAAAUGAGAUCUUCCUUCCCUGGUGCAAUGAAUGUUUACCCGCGGUGCUGAUACCAGCUCAGUCUGUCACUGCGGGAUCAAAACCAGAACUGCACAGUCCCUGAUAAAAAGGCCAGAUGUGCCGCUGUAAUUAAUGCAAUUUGCUCAACACCGCAACAAUUAAGUGCAAUGCGAUAGCUCAGUAAUCUUCGGGGCUUGGAAGUGCCAUCCCCAAGGCAUCCCCAGCUGCUCCAGCUUUCCUUUCUGCUCUGUCUUUUUCAUAAAUUUAGAAACAUAAAGGAUUUACUGAGGAACCACAACAUCAAGUAAAGGGAACAGAAAGAACACAACGGGGGGGGGGGUGAGGUGCACCUGAGGUGCUUUGGCACACAAGGCACAUCCACACCCUCUUCAGCAGGUCCUCCAUCAUCAGUCUCUGCUCGGGAUCCACCCAACCUAACCCUUUGCCAUUGAGACCAAGGCUCAUGGGCCCUUCUGCAUGCAGUCCUUUGCUCGGUAACACUGCUCACUCUCAUGUUCUUGCUCCAAAGCCAAGGUCCCAUUUGCCUCCCUCCCUUCACAGACCAGUGUCAUCCGUUGGGGUCAUCACAGCUCUGUUCACAAGCUGUGAAGUGACAGGAUGCAUUUAUAUUCCUCGUUACUUCUUUUUGGUUCAUGCAAGAAACAGAAAAGCUCCAAAGUUUCUCUUUUAGACACAAAUCCCUCAGGAUUUUGUCACUUAAAAACUGGGGGGAGUAAAAAAAGAAAGACAGUAAUGAGGGAAAAGUGACGAAGUUUUGUUAAAAGCCUACAGGUUUUCAUGGAAAAUGAAGUGAUGGGAAAUGAGAGGUGUUUGAUAGAUGGGCUAAUUUCCCUACCUGACAACCCAGACAGUGUGAUACAAAAAAAGCCCACCAUGUUUGGGUUUGUUGUUUUGUUUUGCAUCCCCUCUAUGUGUGUGUAUAUGCAUGCCUUCAGAAGGGAAGAUGCUACUUUUACAUAUUAAUGCAUGCAUGUAUCUCUACCAUCCAUUAGCAAAACUAUCUGGAAAAAGGGAAGAGGUUUAUAUAUUUAUUUUUUUCCCCCCAGCAUUUGUAAGCUGAAGGCAAUUAAAAACAUCACAGAGAAGACAAAAGGAAGCAUUGCCCUCUUUCAGCCCACUCAGAGAGGGGAAGGUUCUUGCGAACUUAAAUGAGUUUGACAACCUUUAAAUAUAAACAGCUGAUCUGACUGCUGAGAAAUUAUUUAAAAAGAAGAAGAAAAGGAGAAUAAAAAGUUCCUGAGAAGGUCAGCAAUGGAGUGAGUGCCAGCCACAUCACCAUCUGUAGCACAGUCCAAAUGACAAGGACAAAGGAACAUAAUUAGGUCUUGGUAAAAGGCAUGGGCUGGAGCUAAUCCUUUGGAUUGUGAUCCUUUGGAUGACUUAUACCUACAUACAUGUCCCUGUCCCACAUACAGACGUAGGAAAUGGUAUUAAAGCUUCUGCAUUUGGUGCAGCCAAAUUCAGGACAUGGUAUAUCUGUAACUGUCUAGGAACGAGGGUUUGGGGGUGAGAACACCUCUGAGCAUAUUCUUCAGUUCUGAGUGGCACACUGAGGGCUGAGAUUUGUGCUGAAUGAAACGAUGAAUCAAGCUGGAUGACAGCUGUCACUCUUAUAAAAAUGAUACAGGUUGUACAGACACCCCAGUUCAGAGGGGACCAGUUUGACCAUCACCUUCAGGGUUCAAAGGCUAAUUUUUCACCACACAUUCAGUGGGCACCCAUGUUCAGGCUUCAGACAUUAAAACAGAAACCAUCUGUGGGUAUUUUUUUUUCAGGAGCAAAAGACCAACAGAACAUUUGGGCAAAUGGGUGCCCAAAGCUAUCUAUCUCCCUCACUGCAUUAUGAGAUGUGAUGGCUGCAAUAUGGCCAAAGCCCUGGCAUGACCCCAUGCCACAGCUCCAGAUGUCAUCCAGACUGGCAGGCUGAGCUCCCUCCCAGGAGAUGAGCUAUGGAAGGGAAAAACAGGACAGGUAGACAGGACCAGCUGUGGGGUGGAUGUGCCCUCAGACAGCCCCAUUGGGGUGAGUUUUUGGGAGGACCUGGCUGGAAAGCUUCAGAGCGAGGUUGGUCUUCAGACCAAAGCAUCUCUGCACUUGCUAUGGUAAUUGUGUAACUAAUGGCCUUAAGUUGUGCCAGGAGAGUUUCAGAUUGGGUAUUAGGAAAAAAUUCUUCUUAGAAAGAAUGGUGAUGCAGGGGCACAGCUGCCCAGGGAGGUGGGGGAGUCACCAUCCCUGGAGGUGUCCAAGAACCAUGGAGAUGUGGCACUGAGGGACGUGGUGGGGAUGGGCAAACGGUUGGACUGGAUGAUCUUAGAGGUCUUUUCCAACAUCAGUGAUUCUAUGAUCCUAACGCUAUCCCUAACCCUAAUGAUUUUAUAAACUAGGGAUAAGCAGAGAAGCUGGAGUGCCACACUGGGCUUGGAUUGAGGCACCUCAAUCUUCUUUUGUAUGCGUCUCUGGAAACGGGGUAAGUUUCCAGUCCACUUAUAGUAAAAGACCCUUUUAGGCCAGAGUGGUGGUUUUGUUGACAGAAAGAUGCACCCCUUAUGUGUGAAGGUAAGAAUUUGCAGGUGUUGCUGCACAACUCAGAGCAGAGCUCCCAGGCUGACUUUGAAAGUCUGAAUCUGCAAAUCCUUCCCUAUACCACCACACUAGUUUCAGGGAAAUGCUGCCUCUCAAAUCAGGUAGGAAAUUAAAAGAAAUUAAUAUGCUACUCAGCAAGAUUAAUUAAUUAGCUAAUGUGCAUAGAUCACUUAGGAACAGUAAAGCCCUCGAUAACUUUUAUGUCUGAGGAAAUAUGGUCUAAAGUGGUUCAAUUCCAGCCCAGCAAAACUGACAUCUAUUAGGGAAGCUGAUUUGGAGAGAAAGGUGCAGGAGGGGAUCGGUGCCAGCAGCUACCUGGUAAUCACGAGGAGGAACAGAAAGGCUCCAGCAGGAAGGACUUGGGGUUACAAGACCAUAAAACAUGGGAGUCCAUAAAGUUUCCGAGUUCUGAAGGCAUGCCUUAAAAGUUAAUAUCAUGCAAUAUCAGAGCCAUAACAACAAGUCACCUAGAGCCAUUUAUUAUUCAUUGAGAAUCACCCUCAUGCACAUCUACCAAAAGUCCUUUAAUGUCUCGGGUCUGUUCCUCUUAUCUAAAGGAGAUUUACAGGGAUACGAUUGCAUCUUAAGGAAAUGCCAAUCAAUUAUUUUAACAUUAAUUUCUGCCACUCUUAUAACUCUCCCAGGGUACAGAAUGACCAUAUAUAAUGGUGUAGCUGUUAAGCUGCAAGAGAUACCAUUUCCCCCUUUAUAAUUGGACAUUGUGUCAGUCGUGCUAUCAAUAACUGCUGCAUAAUACAAUUAUAGUUGUAUGCUAGAUUGCCAUGUAUUUCUUGUUAUAGCCCUGUGUUAUGCCUCUAAACAUCCUCUGGAAAUGUUUUUACAUGCUCUCCUGUACAGAGAACUGGCUUGACAUGAAAUUCAGUGUGUUUCAAUUUCAAAUAAAGGGAAUUAGGUGGUGACAUUCCCCUGAAAU
ensembl:lncRNA